rnacentral:tRNA from 1 species
UACUCGCUUGGUGGAAUAAGGUAUACACGACGAAUUUAAAAUUCGUUCUCAUUAGAGAUACUGGUUCAAAUCCAGUAGCGAGUAA